rnacentral:rRNA from 1 species
GAUGAACGCUAGCUACAGGCUUAACGCAUGCAAGUCGAGGGGUAACGAGAGGAAAGCUUGCUUUCCUUGUCGACGACCGGCGCACGGGUGAGUAACGCGUAUCCAACCUGCCCCCAACUAAGGAAUAACCUUGCGAAAGUAAGACUAAUACCUUAUAAUUUCCUCAGAUGUCAUCUGACGAGGAAUAAAGAUUUAUCGGUUGUGGAUGGGGAUGCGUCUGAUUAGCUUGUUGGCGGGGUAACGGCCCACCAAGGCAAGGAUCAGUAGGGGUUCUGGGAGGAAGGUCACCCACAUUGGAACUGAGACACGGUCCAAACCCCUACGGGAGGCAGCAGUGAGGAAUAUUGGUCAAUGGGCGAAAGCCUGAACCAGCCAAGUAGCGUGCAGGAUGACGGCCCUAUGGGUUGUAAACUGCUUUUAUACGGGAAUAAAGUUAGCCACGUGUGGUUAUUUGUAGGUACUGUAUGAAUAAGGACCGGCUAAUUCCGUGCCAGCCGCCGCCGUAA